GGACGAUGGGGCUCUUAGGAUCAGAGGAUUGGAACCAUCUGAUUCCUCCGUCAGAUACUUAGUCUCGGGUGGUAUCCUGUGAUGGGGUAAGGAGUCCCCUCUUACCAUGUCUGGCUGGCGGCGACCCAGGUGCCAUGUGAUGGUCAUUUGAAGACAGGCCUGCCGGACAUCUGGUCUGCCAGGGUCCAGACACUUGCCUUCAGGAACCUGGGCUUUCAGCUGUCCAUACCUGGCCCUGGUUGAUGGCCCCAUGCUGGGCAGUGCAUGCGAAGACACACAUGCAUACUUUCUCUAAAAAGUCUGUUGGAAAAAUAAAGCAAAGGUAAGCUAUGAGAACUGAGGGAGAAUAAGAGGGAGGGAAGAAUGAGAGGCACAUAGUGGAGGUUAAAGUUAAUUUGUGUUAUGAACUGAAUAUAUGUCCCUCCAAAAUUCUUGUGUUGAAAUCUAAUCCCCAAAGUGUUGGGAUUAGGAGGUGGAGCCUCUGGGAGGUAGGUCAUGAGGGUGGAGCCUUCAUAGAUGGGAUUAGUGCCUUUAUGAGAAGAGGCCAGAGAGCUAGACUGCUCUCUUUCUGCCAUGUGAUGAGAUAAGGAGAAGAAGUUGGCUGUCUGCAACCUGGAACAGAGCCUUCACCAGAACCCUGACCUGCUGGCACCCUGAUCUUGGACUUCCAGCCUCCAGUACUGUGAGGAAUAAAUUUCUGUUGUUUAUAA